AAUAAGGUGUCUGAAUUUUAGGUCGUAAAUUGUAAAUUUAUGUAUGGUUGAAACCCCUUAUUA
rnacentral:tRNA from 1 species